UAUAUGGGCAUCCCCCAAUUGGCCUUUAAGACAUUCUUCUCAUUGGCUAAGAACAUUCUCAUCUGCUCAGCAGCAGCCUCCUAUUGGCUGGACCCUUGAUGCUGAGGCUUGGAGGCAAAGCCUGGGUCUUCUAGGCACAGCAGAUAAGUCAGGGGAAGGAAAGUAGGGGUUUUAGCAAACCCUCCAGUUAGGGGUCUGGGUCCCCAAGAGCUGACUGAGUCUGUUCAAGCAUUUCUCUCUAGUGCCAGGCCUUUGGUUGGUGUAAAUAGGUCAGAGGUUGGCAUUGGGGGGUCUGAUUUGCAGUCUUACUAUUCUUCUUUUUUUUUUUUUUGAGACAUAGUUUCGCUCUUGUUACCCAGGCUGGAGUGCAAUGGCACGAUCUCGGCUCACUGCAACCUCCACCUCUUGGGUUCAGGCAAUUCUCCUGCCUCAGCCUCCUGAGUAGCUGGGAUUACAGGCACGUGCCACCAUGCCCAGCUAAUUUUUUGUAUUUUGAGUAGAGACGGGGUUUCACCAUGUUGACCAGGAUGGUCUCAAUCUCUUGACCUCAUGAUUCACCCGCCUCGGCCUCCCAAAGUGCUGGGAUUACAGGCUUGAGCCACCGUGCCCGGCCUGCAGUCUUACUCUUAACUCUUGUGAGGCCUCAAAACAAGGACCUUCUGGGUGGUGCCUUCCACUGGGGUAAAGUGAAAAGACUCCAGGAUCACAGACACCCAGGGUUCAAUGGCCUGGUAAAUAGAGAGCAGGAGGCAGUACCAGCACAGCCGGAACUCCUUUGGGCCUGUUACCUCAGAAGCCAGGGGAUGGCUGACCUAAAUUCUGGAAGGCCCCACCUCCCAUAGCCCCAACAGGCAGUGCUCAUGAUCAGUAACUUUCCUCCAAGCCACCCCUCCCCCGCCCCAAUGUCCCUAUACUGCGUGGACUCCUGGAGUCCCCUGCCCCCACCUCUGCCCAGGAAGGCCGGUUUGGGACCAAUCAGAGGCUGUAGGACUUUCUGGAAGGCUCAGGGUGCCCCCACGGGUGUGGCAGGGCCUCUGAUUGGAGGAGGCCUGCCGGGAGGGUGGGGGUGAUGGGCGUGGCUAACAGAAUAACUGCCGGAGCCAGAGCCGUUGGCAGUUAUUUAACAACCGCCACCUGUUCCUCCAGGAUGACUCCACACUGACUUAUUCCUCGACAGACUGAUUUAGCAGUGCUCCCCAAGAAUAUCAUAACUGCUGAAUGAUAGAAGAACCUCCGAGGCCCAGGAUGUGCAUAAGAAGGCGCACAUUCACUUACCUGGCAGGGUGGUUUCUGACGUUGUCGGCGGAAGGCUGCCCAGGGCCGCUGCUGCCCAUCCUCCUCCUCUAGGUGAGGAGCUUCUGAACAGGCGGGGGCGGGAAUGGCCUGCGGCAGCCGCCCAGGACCCUCGUGGGCCUCUUCCCCCGCUUGGCUGCAGCUGCAGUCUAGUACUUGUCCAUCCUGCUCUUCCUUCAGUUCUGUAUAUUCCCAUGGAAGAAGAAAUCCAUUCCCCCAUAGAUGGAGGAGAGUGUCCUGCAUGCUACGAAAGAGCCCGGGACCCAAAGGACAAAGACGUGCCCGGCAGACCUGCCCUCGCCAGCGCUAGCCCGGGUCGGAAAUCUCUGGAGUGUGUGGCCCAGACCGGCCCCUCCCAGGCAUGGCUCUGUUUCCCAGUGGAAUGAUCUUUAUCCAUAAUGAAGCUACAAGGAAGAGGAGGAAGGCAGUCUGCAUAUACCACCAUUUUCUAGAGACUGGGAAGACAGCCCUUAGGAUGAUCCAUCCCUGUGUAACCCUGCCCAGGCUUACCAGCCUUUCCUGAGCUGGAGCUAUUUGGACUAGUAUCUAACAGGACUUGACAUUGGGUCUCCACACUUGCACCCUCCUUGUCCCCAUCAAAAUAUGCAGUACUCUGCCUUCAGAUAGGAGACAUGACCCUUGCACAACAAGAAAAAGUCUAACCUUCCUGGGUCAAGGUUCCUAUGCUUCCUUAGUAGAGGGCUAGCUGUGAGUUGGAAUCCCACUAUGAGCUUUAGAAUCAGUCAAGAGGAAGUGGGCCCCUUCCCUUCAUUCCUCUUUAUUUCCCCUUUUGUCCCAGAGCCCAGCUUUGACUCAAAUGUUUUUCCAAUUACCAUCAACAUAGAAACUCGGCUCCCCACAUGGGUAUAAUUUCCAAUGUUUCACAAGGCCUUGUGCGUGAAAACUCCCUGUCUGAAAGAGGCCUUGGGGGCUCAAGAAACCUGGUCAGCCAGCCAGGCUAGUCCCACAUACCUCAGGACAGAGUGGACCAGUUUAAUAAAGGCUCUAUGUCAUUCUUUUCUGCUUGAGCUGAUUGGUGUGCUGAUUCGGAAGGGGCUUGAUGGAAAAAGUUUGGCCCCUUUUCCUUCUCCUAUCCCUUCUGCUAUACAAGAACACAGUGUCCUCCCAUCUGAAAAAAUGUAGCAUCAAGGUGCCAUCUUGUAAACAGAGAGCAGUCCUCACCAGAGAGCUGAACCUGCUGGUACCUUGAUCUUGGACCUCCCAGCCUCCAGAACAGUCAGAAAUAAAUUUCCAUUCUUUAUAAAAAAAAAAAAAAAAAAGAAUCGGAAGACCCUGAUUCUUUAUUCUUUUCCCCAAACCAGCUCAAUUGGUGUUUGUGCUACAGGGAGAUGAACAAUGGGGAGGAGGGCUGUUACAAGGAAUGCCCUUGGCCCUCCCACCUCCUCCUCUGAAUGAUACCCUCGUUAUCUUAGGCAGGAACCUGCUACCAGUUGGUUUAGUAGAUGCCUGGCGGUUUACUAUGAGUAUUUACCUUGUAUUAGGGCAAGGACUAAAGGAACAAAUGUAUCCACUUCAAUUUCAGGUCAAAUGGGAGGAUGUGGAUGGGAGUAAAUAGUGAUUAGUAUUGAGGUCCUAGAAUUGUAUUGGUUACUAUUUUUAUACCUUUUAUACUCUUCCAAUUCUUGAAUGAAGGUAAAUGGAGACUUACUAAGGAACAAAUCACUAGUGGCAGGGUGGUGGCGUCUGGUGUCCUGCUUAGAGUGUGAAGAGAGUGUGCCCCAUCAUUGGCCCAUGCUGUGCCCCUGGGAGGUGGUAAGCAACUGUCCUGGACUGCACAACUGGUAGUGAAAUUCAUAGCAGAAUGCAACAUUCAUUUGCUGGGGUCUCACAGUUGGCUAGUGUCCCUGUGCCUUUUCCUUCCAUUUGAUGUGUCAUAGAGACCAGACGUGAUUUGGCAAGAGAAAACAGACAUUCAAGAUUUCCUAAAGAUUUCUCAGCAAGGACCCUGGCUGGCUGUUUUUCUACUCUAGUGGUGAUCACAGCAGAUACUGGCAGUUUUCUGUUAUGACUCUGGGGUCUUUUAAGGAGCAGGAAUGGUGGAACUUGUGCAAACCUGGAGCCACAAUCAAGUACUAAGCUCCUUGAAGCACAAGGUAUGAGAAUACUUUAUCAUGUUUUCUCUUCCUUGGAGGAUUUAUGAAUUAAAACUAAGGAAUAAUUUGUAAUCAGAAUAACACUGACAGGGAUAUUGAUGAGCUGAGGAGUGCUUAUUUGGAGAUUUCUGAUGUUUUCCAGCUCUGAGAUUUCAGACCUAAUAUCCAUAUAAUGGUCAUUAAUGUAUUGUAAUUUAUAACAGUUUUAUCAGUGAUCUAUUACAUUAAUCAUCAUGAGUUGGUGACUUUUCAAAUCCUACAGGUUAUUUGUUUAACUAUAUAGAGCUAUUUAAUUUACAAACCCAAUACUCUUUGAGGUAGAUACCAGAACCAUUUUACAUUUGAGGAUAUUGAAACCAGGAAGGAAAAAGACUCAACUCUUGAAGGAAUGGACAUGGGGUGCCCUUGCCUUCCUUAGGGGGAGAGCCACCUAUUCUGUGCAGCUGGAGUUAGGGCCUGCCGCCCUACUCCUCCUCUCUAUCCAACUGCCACACUUUAGAAAAAAAAAAAAGCAGCAGUGAUGUGGGAAUUAUUUAGUGCUUAGUUUGAAAGGAAAAAUUUUAAGGACCUUAAGAGCAACCUUUUAUUUCUUACCAUAUGAGGCACUGGGACAGGCACCGAGAAGUCACUAAAUAUUACUUGCCCAAUGCAUUUUUUCAUGGCUUCGACUUUUUGUUAGGCUCACUUUUUUAACCUCAUCGCUCACACGUUAUGAUUCCUUCCAGAAUUCACUGAAAUUUUAAUAUCCCUUGGUGUUCCUUAGGUAACUUAGGAGUAACUCUAGUUACUAAGUGAUUACCCAACACUUCCCCUAACUAGUUGUAUGACGUUGAGCAGGCUGCUUAACUUCUGUGUGUCUCAGUUUUCUCAGCUGUGAAAUGAAUGAUCCAACCUCUAUGUCAGAAGGAUGGGUGAGGCUCAUGAGGAAUAACCCACAUGAGAAAUCUGGGAUGCUUACCACAGUGUUUGGUAAAUAACAUGAGUUUCCUCUUCCCUGUUUGAACAGUCCUUUAUAUUCUGCUGAGAGCUUUCCUGUUCAUGCUGCAUCACGACCCAAAGGGGAAAGAAUCGUGAGUCCUGGACUUCUCCCUCCUCUAGUUGGUUCAGGGUCAAUCCAGAUUCCAUUGUGAAAGACCCCCACCCUUCUUUGCAACAGCCUUCUUCCCAAGGAUACUUGAUAUGACUGAUUAAUAAUCUGAUUAACACUCUGGAACAAUCUUAGAAGGGUUAGGUCUCAUUACCCUCAUCCAUUCUCUACCCAUUUAGUCUCCAAGCCAUUCUCUGGAAGAGACAAGUGGUUCUUGUCCAAAUGGAUCCUGGAAGAUAUGAGCGGGACUGUGCCCUGAGACCUCCAAUAUUCAUGGAGAAGCAAGUCCUUUCUGCCUUCACCAGUCCUUGAAAGGUCGAGAUUUUCCAAUGUGCCUCUAUUCUUAACGUGGGGGAAUGGGAGUCUUUGCCUUCAUACAGGAAGUAACUGGAGACUCAAAGCAGAUAGGACAAACACAAAUCUUGAAAAUGACCAUAACUCCUUGUUGGUCCCUACUUGCCUCCUGGUUUCACUAGGAAGAGAGUUACUCCAGGUAGAGCACACGGCUCCUUUCCCCACCUUUAAUGUGGACAGUGGGUGGGCUGGGCCAAUAGUCUGGACCUGGACAGCUGUGUCCUCUCAACGAGAGUCUGCCAUGCCCCGCUCUUUCCUACUUAUCCUUACUUAGAUACCUCUUACUCCUCCUUUCCUGCUCAGGUUACAAUGGUCAAUAAUCUCUGACCCCUGUCCCAGCUAGAUUGGCACUGGAGAGCUGAGAGAGCCUCGUGUUCGUGGAGAAUUCUGGCAGAGCUCCUCUCUUUAGCCCCCUCUCAACUCUCCAGGGUCCUGUGCCCCUUGUCUACCUCUCCAGGCUUGACUCUCCUCUCACUUGCAUGGACAUUAUCUUUCCUAGCUCUGGGCUGCCUUCUUAGGCUCAUGUUUUUCCCUCUUUGCUGCUAUGGCAGCCAGAUAUCACUGUAAUGCCUGAGUGUGGGGGUGUGGUAUGUAGGGGAUUCCAGUUCUGGGGUCAGAAGAUUUGAGACCUACUUCUGUCCCAUAAGUGCUAUAAAAACUAAGCCAAAAAAAAAAAAACAAAACAACUUUGAUCCUCAGUUUAGAAAAAUUUGUAACAUGGAAAAAUCAGACUUUUGAUAAAGAAUACGGUUAUCCAUGCUUAAGGAAUGUUUGGAAUGCUGUGAUGGUAUAGAAUCUUUUUGGCUGUGCUUCUGACCUUGUAUACCUCUACAUAUAAGUAUCUCCAGUGUUGUAUCUGUUCCACCAUUCUUCAGACAAAGCUCAAUGAAGGCAGGGAAGGAACCCUCACUGACCACUCCCGGAAUCAGGUGCUCUUGUCUGAGCCCCUUCAUCUUUAGUUUGGGGUAGAAAGCACAGAUGGAACCUUUCUCUAGUUUUCUCAUGUCUGGCACAAACCCUCAUUUUCUGUAACCUCAGAAAGGAUGGAAGACCUUGAGCCUCAAGAAAAAAGCCACAAGAAAAUUCUAUGCCUCUGCUUCCCUCACAAGUCAAAGCUGAGCUAGCCCACAGCAGUUUGCAUGAUUCCUCAGAAGGUGGAACCUCAGCAGGACCCUUAAAAGCACAAAGACCAAGGAAGAAUUGGGCUUCUGCACUGGAUCACUGUUGAGGUCUCCUCCCUGCCUGCUUCCAGACCUCUGGAGUGACCCAGUCUUCUCUAUGGAAACACAGAAUCCAACCUCUUCAUGUAGGUCAGUCACUCCAGCCCCAGUAUGUCCUGGCACACUCCAGCUCUCCCCAAACAAACUGUGAAGCAUUAGCCCUACCUAAGGAGCCUGUCCAGCCAUGCACACAUCCACAAACCCUCUCUGACCUUAGGAUGAAACCAUUUCUCUAACAUCUUUUCUUCACUCUCAUCGGGACUAGUAUGUUGAUUCAGAAGAUCAAAUUGGGAAUUAAUUUUAAUCUCCCUACCUAAAGCAAAUGGAUGGUCUUUGGGCUAGAGGGGGCCCAGGUAUUAAAGGGAGGCAGAGAGGGCUGGUCAAUGGGCUAUCAUCCCAUCACCCCUUGGGAAGAGCUUGCCUCCCAUCUCAAGUGGAGAGCCUCUGGCCCACUCUCAGCCUUCUCAUCAGAGCCAGACUCUCACUGAGUGAUUUUCCUGGCACCUGGCAGUCUUCCCAUCCCAGAAGAGAAACAGUGGGAGGUGUUCAGUGGCAGCAUGUGUGUCAUUCCCGAGUCCUGGUGUUAGAUUUUGGCUGUUGGGCCAAUCCUGGAAGAAAGAUGAAGGGUGGACAGGAUUAGGGAACCAAUGAGGGGCAGGAUCGCCAUCCUCAGCCCAGUAGUGAGGUCUAGAAUUCUCCAGGUGCUUCCAGCUACUAUUGGGACUGUCAUGUAUGUCAGAACAUACAGGGCAUCAGGUGCUACAGAGGUUACCAUGUGCUCUCUGCCCCUUCCCUGCCUCCUCUGUUUGCUAAAAAUCAUGGAGACAAGUGCUGAUUUGGCAAGGGAAUAAUGAACCACCCGAGAUUUUUCGAGCUGGGUCCCAGGCUCUGUACCUAGUUUUUUAAAACACUAUUUUGACCAUAGCAGUCUUUGGGAGCUGUUUGAUGUCUGGGCUCUGGAUUUCCCAUGAAGUCAAGAAUGAUGGAUUCACAAGGGCCCACCAGGAAUAUGGAGACAUAAGCCUCAGGCCUUGGUCUGAUUAGAGCACAGAGAGCCACUCCCUGCCUUGGGUAAAUUCUGAAAUUCAUUAUACAUAAUUUUGCCUGUAAUAAGAUUAAUAAGAGCUUGUAUGGAUAUUGAACAGGGGAUCCAAAUACCCAUUGAGGGAGGCUGGAGUAGAAGACCUCUGAUAGCUUUUGCCAGCUUUGAGAGUCUAUGAGCUUAACAUAUUGAAUAUUAUCAUUAAUAUGCUAUAAUUUAUGUUAAUUUAAGUGAUGCAUAUCAUUAAUAAUAAUGACUGUUAUUUCGCUGGCUUUUCCAAUCCAAUAUGUGAUCUGUAUAACUACCUGGUACUACACAGGCAUACUUACUGAAGUAGAUACUUACCAUUGACAUUUUACCAAUAAGGAAACUGGCCAAGAAACAGGCUCUCAACCCAGAUGCCCCAAAUUAAACAGCCCCUUUCCCUCAGGAGCAACUGCACCUGCCUUGGAUUAGUGAGGACCCUCUAGUUCUCUGCAACUGCUUUUCUUCCAGGCCUGCUUUGCUCCCUCCACCACACCCCCUCUCAAGCUCCUGGGACAGCCAGAGAUGCCUCCUUCACCCCUGCUUGCCCAGGCACAGGAUCCCAAUCCUCAGUGCACCUCUGUUAGACCCAAAGCGAGUCACUUCUCCAUACCAGGUCUUAAUUUCCUCUUCUGUAAAGUGACUCAAGAUUUUAGAACUUAAAAUCUGGUGAAUUCUUCCAGGCACAGGUGUCAUCUUACAUUGUAUGGCCUUUGGCCAAUCCAUGCUUUCAUCUUUUCUUUGACUUGAAAUUAGUGAAGACAGACCAUUCUUCGCAUAAUGAGAGAUCUAAAACAUCAGCUUAUGUCCCCGUCCUUCAAGGUAAUGUGCCAGGCCGUCAAAGGCAUGCAGUGUCUUUCACUGUGACUUUUCUCUCUCUCAGUACCACGCACAGUGCUAGGCACACAGCAGGCCAGUGAGAGCGUGCUAAAUGAGCACAGAUGGAUUUCUCUACCUCUCCCUCUUUUUCCACCGGGCUCAGUCUUCUGACGGUCAAGGUCCAUAUGCCAGGAGUCAGGCCUUUCACAGGAAACCCGGACAGCUCUGCAUUUCUACCUCCUCUGCAGCUCUGUAGGAAACUUCCGAGCAAAUCCAUCAGCAGAGUGUUUACCCAUCUUUGCUCCUCAAUAGCUGUGGUUACCUUGGACAAGUUAUUUAACUCUUCUCUAUCUGAGAUUCCCCAGAGGAGAUAUUAAUAAUACUUAUUCCAUUGUGUUGUUUUGAUGAUAAAUUGAGAUAAUCUAUAUAUAGCUCUUAGAAAUGCGUGGAGCAUAGGAAACUCUCAAUAAAUGUCAGCUAUGGUUACCAACUUAAUUUUGCAGUUGAAAAAUGCCAACCUAAUGUUCCUCUAUUGAAGGUGUAAGAAAUUUCCCAUAACUAGUCUGGGUAGGUAAGGCAACCAGCCCAUCUUUGGUGGACAGAAAGGACCAUAUCUUCCAAGAGACCCCACAGGAAUGGGUACGAAGAGCAAAAUAGGAAACCCAAGAUGAAAGCCUUGGGGAUUAAGAGCUGCAACUGAGGACUUAAAUCCCUUCUUCUUGACAGUAGUACUCCUCAAAUGGUGAGCAAGUCACCUGCUAGUUGCCAGGACAUGCCAGGUCCAUGACACAGGGGACAAGUGUAGGGCCCUGAGGUUUACUUCAUGACAAAGUGGAAAUGGUGUCAGGUCAACUAACAGAGGUCUCCAUGGUCUGGAAAAGGGGAUAUCUUGAAUGUAGCCUAGGAGAUUCAAGGGAAAGAAAACUCAUCCUUGCAAAGUAUAUGAAUGUUAGUGCUGCUGUGGGGUGUGCCAGGGAGCACCACUGAACACAUGUUACAGAGGAGGUGCAGGAGAAGAGGGGGUGUGCUCAUCACCAACUAACCAGAUGGACAGCCUGGACGGAUGGGCUGGAGUUGUGGGAGGCUGGUCAGUGGGCUGACUGGCUGUGGACCAGAUGGGUUUGGGGAUCCCAUGGAGAUGGGUGAAAUUCCAGCUCCACUCUCUCAUCAGUAGGGAACAAAGUGUGUGGCUGUUGACGUCUUGGAAAGGACUAGAUCAUGAGAUCCUCCUUGCUAUAAUCCCAGACAGACUCCAGCAUGAGAUGGUGGAGGAGAAUUCUGGCUCCAAUCACUAGAAGCACAUUCAGCUGUUGGCUAAAGGGACCAAUAAGAAUAUCAAUUAUUCCAACAAUAUCAGGAAAGUAACCAGGGAAGAGCCUGAAAUCUGGGCCUACUUCCUCAGAAUAAAUGAGCAAAAGAAAAUGCCACAUGUUAUACAAAAUGAGAACAUGGGGAAAGAUCAUUGAACCUGUCAGAAGAUCCUAAGUAGCUAUGAUAGGGGUUAGGAUAGCCUUAGAGGGUAAAGGCUAGCUCAUCUCUUUGGUAUGGGGGAAACACGCCAAUUUCCCUCUGAUAGAAGCUUCAGGGAAGGGAAACCUAUGAGCCUUGUAAACACUGACUGACUGUGAGGUUCAGAACCUUAACUGAGAUGACGGAAGCUACCUUUAGUUUAAGGGAUGAAAGUACAAAUAGAUUAUUUUUAAACAGUGAAAGUGACAGUGUUCCUUUUAGAUACUGGGGAGUAACCUGGAUGGGUCUGAUUCUAUUAUGCAAAGGUAGAAACCUCAAGUAUUUACCUGUGAGAAGCCUUCUCAUCACAACAAAUUCUUGCUGUCAACUGCGUCACAUGGAAAGGCUGGGUUUGAGAAUCUAGGUGGGAUCUUUAAAACUGUGCAUUCAGGUUUUGAGUGCUGCCUGCCAAUACUCUUUUCUUUUGAAUAAGUAUUUCUAUUUUUCUGGCAGCAGUUUGCAGAAAUCCCAAUGGUUGCGAGAACGGAGGAAGCCCCGCCCGGCUUGCUGAAGCCCUGAGACCUUCACUGCAGACACAUGGAGAACAAGACACGGAAGUACUCAGGCUCUACUUACGAAAAAUCAAUACUCAGACUUUUAAAUAAAAGUUACUUUGUAUUUUGGAAGGGGGAAACCUGAGACAGUGACUGUUGCCUAACUUGGCUGAAAAUUAUAUCCCUUAACAAAAAAGUAUUCCUAAGGUCUUUUGGAAUUUCAACACUGUACUGAUGGAAAAAAAAAAUUCUCUUGAGGGAAACCUGAGAGAUGUGUCACUAUCAAGAACAUGGGGAAAGGGGUUGAACUGUUUUUUCAGAAAGCUUAAUAAUCAACUAGGCAAAUAUUGUAUCAGCUAUCUUACCUCUGCAAAAGAUUGAAGAGCUGGAGGCUUCCCUAUAUCAGGGACGAGGAUCUGGGUAGGUAUCUUCCCCACUGGGACACAGGAGUAUUCGAAUAGAAAGAGGUGAGAAGAUAGGUUUUGUCUUUGCAGCAAGCUGAUGCCAGGCUUUUUACGUUAGGGGGAGUAAGUCAUAGGCUCCUGGGGCAGAGGACCCCAGACAAGACUGGAGAUGGAAAUUUCAUUAAACAAGGUGCCUCCUAGAGUCACAGAGAGGGGAGAAGGGGUGAACGCAGGGUGGGCUGGACAGCACAGUCUGAAUCCUGGGGAAUAUUCCUGGCCAGGGGAGGGAACGUGUUUCAAGGCAAGGAGGGCCAGAAAGGCUGAUGUACGGUCAGAAGGAACCCCUUCACCAAGGUGCUCUUGCCUGGAGUUAACACUCAGGAUUCUAGCAGAUCUUAGGCUAAUCAAGGGUUUCCCAAUUAGGCUACAAAUGUGAAUCAGUUAGUCAUUUUAAAAUACAAUCUAUAACUUGUUGACAGGAGGAAUAAAGGAUAAGGGAGGCAGUGGCGUGUCAUGGAAAGAACUAAGGCUUUGCAUCAGACUUACUGUGUGACCUCGGGCCAGUUACUUAACGCCUCUGAGCUUCAGUCCCUUCAUUUAUAAUAUGGGCACAAUACUAUCUACCUAAAAGGCUUUGGUGAUGAUUCAGUGAGAAACAUAUGUGAAGCAACAAGCACAGUAUCUGGAAGCUGUAGGUACUCAACAAGUGUCAGUUUCCUUCCUCUUCCAACAGCUGGGCAGGCUUUCAAGUCAAUUGUAUGUCUGCAGUCGCACUGUCCAGUACAGUGGCCAGUACUAAACACAUAUGGCUCUCAGGUACUUUAAAGAGGGCUAAUCUGAAUUGAUAUGUGCCAUACAUGUGAAACACAUACCAGAUUUCUAAAACUUUGUGCCAAAAGACUAUAAAAUACCUUAUUAAUAAUUUGAGUGAUUACAUGUUACAACAAUAUUUUUGAUAUAUUGAGUUAAAAGGUAAGAUUAAAAUUAAUUCCACCUAUUUCUUUAUACUUGAUUCAACAUGGCUUCUUAAAAAAAGUUAAAAUUACAGCAUGGCUCGCAUUUCAUUCUAUUGGACAGCACUGAUCUAGAUAUUAGAAAAGACAGAGUUGGGAAGCUGUGUUCCAGAAGCAGGUUUCUUUCUAUACCUUGGGUUUGGGUUUUGGUUUGUUCUUCCAUAAUUUCCCAGUAAAAUACCCUUUUGAAAAAAAUACCAUUCAGGGCUCAACCAAAAUGAGUAGAAGAUACCCAUGCGCCCCUAUUAGGUGCAGUGAUGGUGACCACUGUCCAGAAACAAGUAGGAGGUAGAGCUGAUAUAUCAGAGAAUGGAGAUGCCAGGUGGGACAGUCAGGACAGCUGUGGAUGGACUGUUCUUAGCCUGAAGCUUGACUUUAGAUUUCUCUACAUAUCUUUACUCUGGGAGGCUGAUCCCAUUCUCUAUUAUUUCAGAA